AGUGAACGCUGGCGGUAGGCCUAACACAUGCAAGUCGAACGGCAGCACAGUAAGAGCUUGCUCUUACGGGUGGCGAGUGGCGGACGGGUGAGGAAUACAUCGGAAUCUACUUUUUCUUGGGGGAUAACGUAGGGAAACUUACGCUAAUACCGCAUACGACCUACGGGUGAAAGCAGGGGAUCUUCGGACCUUGCGCGAUUGAAUGAGCCGAUGUCGGAUUAGCUAGUUGGCGGGGUAAAGGCCCACCAAGGCGACGAUCCGUAGCUGGUCUGAGAGGAUGAUCAGCCACACUGGAACUGAGACACGGUCCAGACUCCUACGGGAGGCAGCAGUGGGGAAUAUUGGACAAUGGGCGCAAGCCUGAUCCAGCCAUACCGCGUGGGUGAAGAAGGCCUUCGGGUUGUAAAGCCCUUUUGUUGGGAAAGAAAAGCAGCAGGUUAAUACCCCGCUGUUCUGAAGGUACCCAAAGCAUAAGCACCGGCUAACUUCGUG
rnacentral:rRNA from 1 species